AUUUUCAUGAGAUCCAGUUUUAUAGCUCCCACAUGUAACUUUUCAGACAUGAAUUGGAAUAAGAUAAGGCCAACUUGCUCAACUACAUUCCUUACUAAAACAUAAUAACUAAAAGCUACAGUGUGCAUUUCAUGUUUCACAUGUUCUGUUGCAGUGCCAAGACUAGGUUUAAGCAAUUCAGCUGCACAGUUACCAACCACUUCUUCUUGGAAGAUUUACCUACAAUCUAACUGAUAUACUUAACAAAAUUAUAUUUUUAAUAUUGAUUGUACAAUUUUUUACUCCUUAAUUGUAUCUGACAGCUUCUUAUACUUUAAACUU
rnacentral:lncRNA from 10 species